AUUGAACGCUGGCGGCAGGCCUAACACAUGCAAGUCGAGCGGAUGAAGGGAGCUUGCUCCUUGAUUCAGCGGCGGACGGGUGAGUAAUGCCUAGGAAUCUGCCUGUUAGUGGGGGAUAACGUCCGGAAACGGGCGCUAAUACCGCAUACGUCCUGAGGGAGAAAGUGGGGGAUCUUCGGACCUCACGCUAUCAGAUGAGCCUAGGUCGGAUUAGCUAGUUGGUGGGGUAAAGGCCUACCAAGGCGACGAUCCGUAGCUGGUCUGAGAGGAUGAUCAGUCACACUGGAACUGAGACACGGUCCAGACUCCUACGGGAGGCAGCAGUGGGGAAUAUUGGACAAUGGGCGCAAGCCUGAUCCAGCCAUGCCGCGUGGGUGAAGAAGGCCUUCGGGUUGUAAAGCCCUUUUGUUGGGAAAGAAAAGCAGUAGGUUAAUACCCCGCUGUUCUGACGGUACCAAAAGAAUAAGCACCGGCUAACUUCGCG
rnacentral:rRNA from 1 species